GGGUUCAUACAAGUGGUGGAACAUGUGGUUUAAUGCGAUAAUCCGCGCGAAACCUUACCAGUUCUAGACAUUUUCUUUUUUUUAAGAUUAAAAAGAUAAUCAGGUGUUGCAUGGCUGUCGUCAGCUCGUGUUGUGAAAUGUUUGGUUAAGUCCUAUAACGAGCGCAACCCCUAUCGUUAGUUGCCAGCGGGUCAUGCCGGGAACUCUAGCGAAACUGCCGGUGCAAACCGAGAGGAAGGUGGGGAUGACGUCAAAUCAUCACGGCCCUUACGUCCUGGGCCACACACGUGCUACAAUGGCCGGUACAGAGAGCAGCCACUACGCGAGUAGGAGCGAAUCUCACAAAGCCCUUCCCAGUUCGGAUUGGAGUCUGCAACUCGACUCCAUGAAGUUGGAAUC
rnacentral:rRNA from 1 species